GCCGGGAUGGUGGAAUUGGCAGACACCAGGGACUUAAAAUCCCUUGUCCGAAAGGGCGUACGGGUUCGAGCCCCGUUCCCGGCA
rnacentral:tRNA from 1 species